GACACUAUGGCCGAGUGGUUAAGGCGUGAGACUCGAAUGGAUUCAUCAAACUUCGGUCAUCUCUUGGGCUCUGCCCGCGCAGGUUCGAAUCCUGCUGGUGUCG
rfam:Zygosaccharomyces bailii CLIB 213 genomic, scaffold04